rnacentral:sRNA from 1 species
AGAAGAACUCAGUCCCUUAGAUGUUCAUAAUAAUGCGAUCAUUAC